rnacentral:sRNA from 1 species
UUCAUCGUUAUCGCUUAAUCGUUCUCAUUGCUUGUUUCUUAGUUUUUGCAUUU